rnacentral:lncRNA from 1 species
AAAGAUCUCCCUGUCUUCUAUCUUCCAAUUCAUCACUCUUUCGAUGGGGUCGAGUCCCAAGAACCUCCACUCUAUUCUGGGUGCAGCAGGAGUCAAGGAUAAGAGAGUUUCCAUCCUGCCUAAAGAUGGUUUAACAAAUUUCACGCAAUCCAUCAUUUUCAAGAAGCAACAAACCAACGAACCCUUUUACGUACUUGAUUUAGGAGUAGUCGCUGCCCUCAUGGACAAAUGGACCCGUACCCUACCCAUGGUUCGACCCUUCUACGCCGUCAAAUGCAACCC